UUCUAAUCUGUAUUCUGGAGUCUGGACUUCUAAAAAUUUGUUCCGGGUGAAGAAAAUUACGUUUAUACCCAUUCCGUUCAUGAAAGGGAAACCGAUGUGACUACAUACUUUUAUGCAAAACUGUCAACCGACCAUGACGCAGGGAUGAUUUUCUAAAUCAGUUUGAAAACCUUCACUCCAUUGCGUGAUAAGGACAUAAUUAGGAAAGAUACAAUCUAUUUAGGUCUCCUUCCUUUAAAGUUUUUAUUUUUUAAAUAUUUAUUUUUCGCUUUACGGGAUAAAUUAUUCUCUCAUAAUAUAAUACAUUUAAUUCAAAAAAUAAGUACCUAUUUAAUUUAAUUAGUGGAACACAUCCUUAUUAAUUUAGUACUAGAAUACAUACUUAUGUUGUUGCAUAUACGGUGGAUGGAAUAGGACGUUACUAAAGAUAUUUAGACAGAAUCUCGUGCAAAUAUCUUCUUGGUCGGUAAAAGAAUUUUAUUAAUCAACAUAAUUGGAACAAGUAUAAUGAUUAAGAGGAUUAUGAUUGUAGAAAUAUCACUACUGACGCCAAACGUUUCAACUAUGUUGGCAACUUGGCGGCUAACGUACGACCGCCCAUAUGAAUCCCAUACGGCUCUGUUUGGAUGACAGGAAUAUUGAGGAGGAAUAAGAAUGUGACACUAUACUUUUAUGAUUCCGAUGUUUGAAAGGAACAUGAAUAUGAAUGUGAUACCACACUCCCAGAAUUCCCAUAUUUGGGAGAGAUAAGAAUAGAAUUGUGAUUUAUGACGACACAUUCGACUAGGAAUCACAUUACUAGAUUGAGUGGGAAUCCAAUUCCUCCAUUUCUUAGAUUCCUGGCUCAAUCAAUAAAAAAAAGAAAAUAUUGAUUUUGAUAAAAUCCAAAAUAAUUGAAAUCCAAACACUGGAAUGAAAUUACUUCUGGUAUUAUAUUUUUAGGAAUUUCAUUCCUAAUGAUCAUAUUUCUACACCCACUCAAUAAAAUUUCUAAAAAUUUGAUUCCUAAUAAUCACAUUUUUAUUCCUUCUAAAAAUUCCGGUCAUCUAAAUUGAACCCAAGUAUAACACCAAAAGAAAGCUGGCAAGGAAUUAGCUAAUUAAUGAUUCCGGCGUUGAUGGUAAUUAAACUCGAUCCGUUGAAGUUGUACUUUAUUUAUAAUUAAAUUAAAUUAAAGACAAUUGAGAGCCUAGCUAGCUGUGUUCUACGUUUUAGUAAUUUUUUUUGUUCCACGUUGUUAAUUGUUAAUUCCAAUCAUGACCUGUUGGUGAGCUGCUUAGGCACGUGGGAUGAGAACCAUAUGAAAUAGGAAGAAAAACUAGCUAUUUAAUCAUGCAUAUAAAUUAAGAUCACUUAUUUGAUCUCCCUAAUUACAAAUCUUAGAUUCGAUCC